GUCCUAGCCGUAAACGGUGCAUGUUUGCUGUAAAAGGAAUCGACCCCUUUUGUGGCGGAGCCAACGCGUUAAACAUGCCGCCUGGGAAGUACGGUCGCAAGAUUAAAACUCAAAGAAAUUGACGGGGGCCUGCACAAGCGGUGGAGUAUGUGGCUCAAUUCGAUGCAACGCGAAGAACCUUACCUGGCCUUGACAUGCAUAUAGUAGAAGGGUGAAAGCCUGACGAGGUAGCAAUACCAGUAUGCACAGGUGCUGCAUGGCUGUCGU
rnacentral:rRNA from 1 species